rnacentral:lncRNA from 1 species
CCACAGAACUCUUGGGAGUCCAUGGAUCCCAAGUUAAAAAACCCUGAUGCUAAAGGAAUUGAAGCGAUCUGGCAUGGAAAAGAAUAAUGCAGCCAGCCAAGUGAUGAAGGCAGGUGGAUCCAAUAAAAACCAAAGGCCAGAUACUUUUACACAGAAGGUGAAACCAGGGGCUAAUGGUGAUCAAGAAGAAGAGAAAAGUGGGGGUAAAUUACCUACUGGCAACACACAGGGUGUUCAAAGUGGCAACAGGAAACUAUCAGAUGACCAGGUUGCCUGUCCAGCACUCUUUGACCCUGUUUGUGGUUCUGAUGGGAAAACCUAUAGCAACAUGUGUAUGUUUAAUGAAGCAAAUAAGAAAAGCAAUGGAAAACUAAACCUGAAACACAAAGGAAAGUGCUGAAUUCCUGGGGGGACCAAAUAUCAGAUUAAUCAUUAUCUAUGUUUUCCUUUAGCUCUUUGCUUCCUAGAGUCUAUUUGUGCUCAGAUUGAGGGUUUGGGGACUUCUAUGAUUGUAUAUCACUAUUCAUUUCAAUGAAUAAUAAAAUCAGCUCUAAACUGGCCUCUUUUUUUUUU